CUCAAACUGGUUUGAAAAGUAUUUAACAGACUUUAUACUUCCUUGUUGAAAAUGUCUUUAUUUUCAUAUCUCAUUAUUUGGACAUAUACAUUUGUCAUUGGAGAUGCUAAAGGAGAGCCUUGUUCUAACACCAAAGGUUUAUCAGUAGUAAAUAUAUGCAAAGACGAAAGUAAAAUCCAGGAUAUGAGCAAUUCUGUUUUGAUAAAGGCAAAUACCACUGAAAACUGUACAUGUAAACUUUAUGUUACCAAUCAAGAUCAAGACAUUGCAGUUAAUAUUCAGAAAUAUGGUCAGCAGACAAGCUCUAGUCCGUCACAUUUCGGAUGUGGUUUGAUACUGGAGUUUGAAAUCAGAGGAAAUAGCUUUUGGAACGUUCAAUGCAUAGUUGGUAAUAUAAUUUUCCAAACUCAAUAACGAACAACGAUGUAAUGACAAUUCGGUCUGUGGCUGUGAAUGGAACGUUAAAACCUAAUGAAGGAUAUUGUAUUGAAAUAA